GAUGAACGCUGGCGGCGUGCCUAAUACAUGCAAGUCGAGCGAACAGACGAGGAGCUUGCUCCUUUGACGUUAGCGGCGGACGGGUGAGUAACACGUAGGUAACCUACCUAUAAGACUGGGAUAACUUCGGGAAACCGGAGCUAAUACCGGAUAAUAUUUCGAACCGCAUGGUUCGAUAGUGAAAGAUGGCUUUGCUAUAACUUAUAGAUGGACCUGCGCCGUAUUAGCUAGUUGGUAAGGUAACGGCUUACCAAGGCAACGAUACGUAGCCGACCUGAGAGGGUGGUCGGCCACACUGGAACUGAGACACGGUCCAGACUCCUACGGGAGGCAGCAGUAGGGAAUCUUCCGCAAUGGGCGAAAGCCUGACGGAGCAACGCCGCGUGAGUGAUGAAGGUCUUCGGAUCGUAAAACUCUGUUAUUAGGGAAGAACAAACGUGUAAGUAACUGUGCACGUCUUGACGGUACCUAAUCAGAAAGCCACGGCUAACUACGUG
rnacentral:rRNA from 1 species